GACGAACGCUGGCGGCGUGCUUAACACAUGCAAGUCGAACGGAAAGGCCCUGCUUUUGUGGGGUGCUCGAGUGGCGAACGGGUGAGUAACACGUGAGUAACCUGCCCUUGACUUUGGGAUAACUUCAGGAAACUGGGGCUAAUACCGGAUAGGAGCUCCUGCUGCAUGGUGGGGGUUGGAAAGUUUCGGCGGUUGGGGAUGGACUCGCGGCUUAUCAGCUUGUUGGUGGGGUAGUGGCUUACCAAGGCUUUGACGGGUAGCCGGCCUGAGAGGGUGACCGGCCACAUGGGGACUGAGAUACGGCCCAGACGCGUACGGGAGGCAGCAGUGGGGAAUAUUGCACAAUGGGCGGAAGCCUGAUGCAGCAACGCCGCGUGCGGGAUGACGGCCUUCGGGUUGUAAACCGCUUUCGCCUGUGACGAAGCGUGAGUGACGGUAAUGGGUAAAGAAGCACCGGCUAACUACGUG
rnacentral:rRNA from 1 species